GCAAAACCUAAUAAUGCUUCAGAUAAUCUUAGUUUAUCACUUGAUUAUUGAUGCACCAAUUAUUUUUCUUUGUCCAAAUCAAUGCCACGAGACGUUUAUUGCCCAACUGUCCCUAAAGCUCAGGAAACCAACUUCAAACCGCAAAUAACAGCAAGCCCUGUGACUCUGUUAAUUGUCAUGGAUUCUCUACAGGCUGGUCGUAAAAUGGAUUCUCAUGGGCCGUUUUUCAUGGGCUCAAAUAGGCCCAGUUGUUAAGCUAUUAGGCCUUCUCUACUUACGUCAGAAUUCCGUUGAUAAGAAAACACUGCAUCUCCAAGAACCUGUCACAGAUAAGAUUCAUAAGAAUGGCACUGACAGCUUCAUUAUCGACGGUUUCGUGUACACCGCCACGAUGGGUGUCGACUCGAAGCGUGCCAACUGCUCGUGGUCCAUCAACUUCUCUGUCUCUCUUUACUGGUUCAAAACCAAGAAGCAAUUUCUCAAUAAAUGUGUUCAGCAACUCUGCAUCUCGCUCAGGACUUCUUCACUGCUCCUUUCUCUCUUCUUCUCUCGCAUUCCCUUCUUCCUUUUCAGGUAGCUAAACCCAAACCCAUAUCGAAUUAUACUUUGAUUUUUGUUAUUUUUGUGAUGCCUAUUUCAAUUGAGUGGUUAUUCUAUGGUUUUACGGUGGAAGAUUUGAGGGGUAUCUCCUUCUUGUUACAUUCUCGCUUUCAGAAAAUAGACUCUGGAUUUUUCUAUUCCGAACUUAAAUUGUUGAUUGGAAAUGUUAGUUGAGCAUUGCUUCUGGAAUUGUUUUCUUUACGAGAAGGGGUAAUUAUUAUUUUAUGGGAAAAUGAUUGAAGUAAAUUUUGGUUCUUUUGAAUAUUAAAUUAAUUUUAAAUUUCUAAACAAGCAAUUUAGGAUAGGUAGAUGUUGGAAGAUUGAUUUAGAACAACUGUUACUAUAGUGCUUGCAGGCUUGCUGCACGUUAAUACAUUAUUAGAUAAUAAUCUCAUUAAUUUUGUUCAGUAUUAAUGUUUGUGAUUCGUUUUGCUAUAAUAUGUAUUAAGGCAUUGCACACAUCUUGCAUCCUAAUGAGUUUGGUGGAGUGUGGACUACUGUACUUAUCAGAUGGGUAUACCUGCGAUAGCACUUUCGUUAUAUGAGAGAACAAAUGAGUUAUAUAAUCCAAGACUUUAGUUGCAGUCUUUUAUAGUGCCAAGAUAUGAUUGUGUUGCAAGAGUCCAACUUUCUCUGUUUCAGAGAAGGGUUUCAAAUCUGUAUUACAUGCUAUAGUAGGAGCAUGAGUGUGCUGUUGUAUAAAAAAAAGUUGUAGUUUCAUUUCUUGGACUUAAUGUAACCCACACCCACUGUUAUGUAGGUUUGUCUUUGGGAUUGGAUAUGAAUUCUAGUGGGGUAAGAAAGGAAAGAGGCUACGGCCUAGUAGUCAGAGCUGGAAAGGCUGCUCUUUGUCAAACCAAGAGGAACAGGUCUCGGAAGUCUCUGGCCAGGACUCAUGGCUUCCGUCGAAGGAUGAAAACCACCAGUGGAAGGGCAGUGUUGAAACGUCGACGUGCCAAGGGACGAUGGCUCCUUUGCACCAAGUCCAACCCUAAUUCAGGAAAACGUCAUCUUUAAAUUGGUCUAAUAGGUUCAUUUGAUGAAGUGUAAUAGUGCCUACUAAUUGUUUUUGUACACUUGAUACCUUUGCAAGUUCGUAUUCAAAGAUAUUAUCUCAAAUUUUCCAUUUGUAAUGCCCUUUGUAUAUCAAUUCCUGCUUUCUGUCUUGAUUUAUUUCUGUUGUUCUCAUUUUAUGCUUGUAGUAUUACUAGUUUUCAAGGGGCCAAUUGGAUAUUCUCACUGAAUGUUAUUCUUCAGAUAGUCUGAAUUUGUCUCUAGGUUCAGCUACCUGUCCUAACCUUGAGUGAUU
rnacentral:misc_RNA from 1 species